rnacentral:lncRNA from 1 species
GUUGGACCCGGCUCCGCCCUACCCCACGGGGCCGCCUGGAGAGGUGCUGGGAGCUGGGUGGAGCUUAGAGGAAUUAAACUUUGGCCCUGCGCCUCGUCCAGCCUAGGUUCCACCCUUUUCUGGGAACGUGAGUAUCAACCAAGUUUACACCCCGCCACUCCUGAGCACCGCACACCGGCUUCCUCCCAGUCCCUCAUCUGAGAACUCAUGAAGCCACUUGGAAUCCCUCUCUGCUUUGCCUGGCUCAUUCCAUGUCAAUUUCAGAUCUUCACUUCAGGUCAGCUCCAAGGAGGCUAUCCUUGCCCAUCUUCCUAAAAUAGAGCUCUCAAAACCUGGCUGUUUUCCUUCAGAGCACUGGCCUCCAAUUUAAAUCCCAAGUAAGGUACCUGCCGUCGGCAGAUUUGAGCUUUCUUCUUGGACACCUAAUACCCAGAGUCCUCCAGGCUCCGGUAGAUUGCAAAUGACCUGCUUUCUUUCUGUUCCCGGGCGGCAUCGGACCCGUCGGAGAGUAAAUCCCAAGUAAGGUACCUGCCGUUGGCAGAUUUGAGCUUUCUUCUUGGACACCUAAUACCCACAG